AUUGAACGCUGGCGGCAGGCCUAACACAUGCAAGUCGAGCGGGCGGCGUACGGGUUAGUAAGGUACGGGGACCUGCGCGAUGGAGGGGGACAACUACUGGAAACGGUGGCUAAUACCGCAUAGUAUCGGCUAUAACCAUAUGGGAUUGGGUAGUAGGUGGGGUAAAGGCACGCCUAGGCGACGAUCUCUAGCUGGUCUGAGAGGAGGACCAGCCACACUGGGACUGAGACACGGCCCAGACUCCUACGGGAGGCAGCAGUGGGGAAUAUUGCACAAGGGGCGAAAGCCUGAUGCAGCCAUGCCGCGUGUAGGAAGAAGGCCUUAGGGUUGUAAAGUACUUUCAGCGGGAAGGCGUUACCCGCAGAAGAAGCACCGGCUAACUCCGUGCCAGCAGCCGCGGUAAUUC
rnacentral:rRNA from 1 species